GCUUGUCUCAAAGAUUAAGCCAUGCAUGUCUAAGUGUAAAUACGUCUACACUGUGAAACUGCGAAUGGCUCAUUAAAUCAGUUAUCGUUUAUUUGAUGAUCUCUUGUUACAUGGAUAACCGUAGUAAUUCUAGAGCUAAUACAUGCGCCAAGUCCCAACUCUUGCGGGGAGGGAUGUAUUUAUUAGAUCCAAAACCAAUGCGGGCUUCACGGCCCGGUGUUGCGGUGAAUCAUAGUAACUUGUCGGAUCGCAUGGCCUCGCGCCGGCGACAGUUCAUUCAAAUUUCUGCCCUAUCAGCUUUCGACGGUAGUGUAGUGGACUACCGUGGCGUUAACGGGUGACGGAGAAUUAGGGUUCGGUUCCGGAGAGGGAGCCUGAGAAAUGGCUACCACAUCCAAGGAAGGCAGCAGG
rnacentral:rRNA from 1 species